rnacentral:lncRNA from 1 species
GGAAUCAUUUUUUAAAAUUUUAACAGAAUAAUGAAUUUUAUUUAAAAAAAUGUGAAUGCCACAAGUCAUGCACAUAAUUGCCAAUUGACUUCUGUUUUAUUGUAUAAAAGAUAACCGGAGGAGAACCCAAACCGGAAAUGAAGGUUACUUUUAUUAUAGAUAACAGCAGCCUCCUUGAGAAAAAAAAAAAAAGAGACAGUAAAACGAAUGGAGUUGAUGUCAUGGAUUAUUGCGAUGGAAUUUAUCCAAUAUCUAAGAAUAUAUUAAUAUUUGAGAUAAGUGAAUGUCUUGCCACCAUCUCACGAGCUCAACACCCAAUUUAUCAUCGACAACUUGCAACGCACGUGAUUUAUUAUUUCAAAUAAAUAUUCACAUUUUGUGUGUUUAAUAAGACCGUAUUUUAGUGGUUAGGGCACUUUGAUUAAGUGGCUCUGCACUAAUAUGUUUUUAUCUUCCAACUUCCAACUUACCAAGAAUAUUUUGGUCACUCUCCUCAUGAUGUAUACGCAGCCAUCACUUACAUUCUAUGUAUUUUGAACUAGUUGAUCAUAUUUAAAAACGAAUAUAUUGAAAUUUCAAAUCUCAAUAUGUCGUGUAAUCCAAUAUAUAGUUAGUAUUAUAUAUUGUGUUCAAAAAAAAAGUUAGUAUUAUAUACCAAACAAUCACUAUUGACUUGUAUGAUAUAUGGAUAGAGCACUCAAACA